CAGGAAUUCCCAAUACUAUCGAUACGGGUUGUGGGAGCAAGAGCCCGGAGAUGGAUUCUGAGACACGAAUCCAGGCCCUACGGGGCGCAGCAGGCGCGAAAACUUUACAAUGCAGGCAACUGUGAUAAGGGAACCCCGAGUGCCCGUAUGGACGGGCUGUUCAGGUGCUUAAAAACCACCUGGAGAAAGGGCCGGGCAAGACCGGUGCCAGCCGCCGCGGUAAUACCGGCGGCUCGAGUGGUGGCCACUAUUACUGGGCUUAAAGCGUCCGUAGCUUGGUCGUUAAGCCUCUGGGGAAAUCUUCCGGCUUAACCGGAAGGCGUCUCAGGGGAACUGGCGACCUAGGGAUCGGGAGAGGUGAGAGGUACUCUGGGGGUAGGAGUGAAAUCCUGUAAUCCUCAGGGGACCACCUGUGGCGAAGGCGUCUCACCAGAACGACUCCGACAGUGAGGGACGAAAGCUGGGGGAGCAAACCGGAUUAGAUACCCGGGUAGUCCCAGCCGUAAACAAUGU
rnacentral:rRNA from 1 species